rnacentral:rRNA from 1 species
CUACGGGGUGCUCCAGUGGGGAAUAUUGGACAAUGGGGGAAACCCUGAUCCAGCAAUGCCGCGUGUGUGAAGAAGGCCUGCGGGUUGUAAAGCACUUUCGGUUGGGAGGACUGCUUCUAGCACUAAUAUUGUUGGAAGUUGACGUUACCUUCAGAAGAAGCACCGGCUAACUCCGUGCCAGCAGCCGCGGUAAUACGGAGGGUGCAAGCGUGAAUCGGAAUUACAGGGCGUAAAGCGCGCGUAGGCGGCUAGAUCAGUCGGGUGUGAAAGCCCCGGGCUUAACCUGGGAACUGCAUCCGAUACUGGCUAGCUUGAGUACAGGAGAGGAGAGUGGAAUUCCACAUGUAGCGGUGAAAUGCGUAGAUAUGUGGAGGAACACCAAUGGCGAAGGCAGCUCUCUGGCCUGAUACUGACGCUGAGGUGCGAAAGCGUGGGGAGCAAACAGGAUUAGAUACCCGAGUAGUC